UUUAAUCAAACCAAUUUUUAAAACAUUCUAAUAGUCUCUCUAAAUCUCUCUCUCUUUUUCUCUCUCACUUUCUCUGUACCAUGCUGGCCCAAAUUCUCUUGGCUCUAAACCAUGCACAUAAGGACUGCUGCGCAGUCUCUGGCAGUGAAAGCAAAUGCAGUCUUUCUCAUUCCUCCUUAGUUUAUUUUGUAACAGUACAAGAAACUGCCUCUUCCUUGGUGUUUCCCAGAUCAUAUGGAGCAAUUUCUGAUGUUGCGGAUGCAAACAGACAGAGACCCACAGCACAACCUCUGAAGUUCGGUCCCUCACAGGCAUGGGAUUGGCAUUACGCAGGAGGAGAGGGAAACACCAUUUUCUAAUUUCUUGCUGUGGGCCAGGCUUGGCCUAGACAAGAUUUGCCUUGAAACCCUUUGCUGAAAAUGGACGGGGUGUGGAGUGCACAGGACAUAGGAAAAUGGAGCCCUCAAUCCACGAUUCUCUGGCAACAGCGGGGAGGACAUAAGCUGUGUCACUGUGGUUAGUGAGUGCUGUAUUGAGUCACUGGGAGGGCAGAAAUGUGUGCAGUUUCUAGUGGAAAAGCCACACACAUGAAGGGUUAAAAGACACGUGAGGAAAGCUGGUCGAAGGAAAAGAGAGGACAUACGCUAUGCUCAGAAGUCAACAGUGCUUUCAAAAAGUGGGAAGCUUCUUAUAGCCACUCCAAAGGGUGUGCCAGAAGGUAAAAGGGUCAAGCCUGGAAGAAGAAACUGCAAAAUGGCAGCCAUGGGUUUAGCUUGGGACUAGUUACCUGCUGACUUUUCCCUUCUGAAGUACAGUUCAAACUCUGCAUUUUCGUAGUACGAGCUGCACGUCUGGAUGAUGCUGUUGGCAUAGCUACGUGGACAGAAGUUAAAUUCAGCUCAUCAGUAACAUCCCCUUCCCACACUGACGGCACACUUCACCCCUGUGUGAUAGGGGUUUUCCAAAAGACCCUUUUCUUCUGCAGGAUGGUGUUCCCUUGCAGCUGGGAAGAAACUGUUUUCCUGGGCUGCUGGGGGAAUGAAUGUGGAUAUGCUUAUAGCUCAAUAACGUUGACAACAGUAACAGUUCCUGCAUUUCCUCACACAUUCGCUUACAGCUUUUCCCCUCUUGAUAUUACAAAGAGGAAAUCUUUACCAGUCUCUGACAUUGGGAACACUUCUUAAUACGUCUACCCUGGCUUUCUUUGCUCUUUCUCUUAAAAUUCCACACAGUCAGUCAGCACUCAGUGUUCACAUUGCUGGGAAUUAUUAGGAGAACAAAAGUUCCCAGGACAAAGUCCCAUGCUCUGUGCAAACAAAACUUUGUUUCCAUUGUUAUCCUUUUAACCAUGAGCAAUUAAACUGGAAACACAAUUGUGAGUUUUCUUUGUGAUGACUUUGCAUGUCCAGUGACAUGGACCUCGUUUUCUCUGGGGUCAGCAGAACCCUUACUGGCAUGUACACAUAUCUUUGUUGCCUCCACUGUUCUGUUAUGAUUAAUUCAUUUAUUAACUUGAUAAACUGCAAAGUUUGAUUGCACAA